CCUACGGGUGGCAGCAGUGGGGAAUAUUGGGCAAUGGAGGAAACUCUGACCCAGCAAUGCCGCGUGAAUGAAGAAGGUCUUCGGAUUGUAAACCUCUUUUGUCGGGGAGCAAGGCCCGCCACGUGUGGCGGGAAGGAGAGUACCCGAAGAAAAAGCAUCGGCUAACUCCGUGCCAGCAGCCGCGGUAAUACGGAGGAUGCGAGCGUUAUCCGGAUUUAUUGGGUUUAAAGGGUGCGUAGGCGGAAGGUUAAGUCAGCGGUCAAAUGUCGGUGCUCAACACCGGCCUGCCGUUGAAACUGGUCUUCUUGAGUGAGCGAGAAGUAUGCGGAAUGCGUGGUGUAGCGGUGAAAUGCAUAGAUAUCACGCAGAACUCCGAUUGCGAAGGCAGCAUACCGGCGCUCAACUGACGCUGAGGCACGAAAGCGUGGGGAUCGAACAGGAUUAGAUACCCGAGUAGUC
rnacentral:rRNA from 1 species